rnacentral:rRNA from 1 species
GGAAUUGUUCGCAAUGGGCGCAAGCCUGACGACGCAACGCCGCGUGGAGGAUGAAGGUCUUCGGAUUGUAAACUCCUGUUGAUCGGGACGAACAUCCAUCGGGAUAACACCCCGGAGGACUGACGGUACCGGUUGAGGAAGCCCCGGCUAACUCCGUGCCAGCAGCCGCGGUAAUACGGAGGGGGCUAGCGUUGUUCGGAAUUACUGGGCGUAAAGCGCGCGUAGGCGGUUCUUCAAGUCAGAGGUGAAAGCCCGGUGCUCAACACCGGAAUUGCCUUUGAAACUAGGGAACUUGAAUCCAGGAGAGGUGAGUGGAAUUCCGAGUGUAGAGGUGAAAUUCGUAGAUAUUCGGAAGAACACCAGUGGCGAAGGCGGCUCACUGGACUGGUAUUGACGCUGAAGUGCGAAAGCGUGGGGAGCAAA